rnacentral:tRNA from 1 species
GGCUCGGUAGCUCAGUCGGUAGAGCAUAGGACUGAAAAUCCUAGUGUCGGCGGUUCGAUCCCGUCCCGAGCCA